GCCUCCCCAAGACCAGAGCCAACGUCGACAAGGUGUUCUUCGACCUCAUGCGGGAGGUCCGCAAGAAGAAAAUGGCGGAGAGCAAAGACAAAAACGGGCCGAGCGGCAAGAAGAAGAAGAAGCACUGCUGCGUACUUUAACUCCUGGCAGGACAAAGUGACAAAGUGCCAAAAACAAAACAAACAACAGCAAAAAUAAAACAACCAGGCAGCAGCUUUAAACCAUCAAACUGUCUGUCAAACGACUGCUGCACCAAACAGUCACUCCGUCAGCCGUGGAGGGAAACUCCCAAAUACUCCCCGUUCCUCACCUGCACAUUUAUUUUUACACCUGGAAAUGUAUUUUUCUCCAAAUGUAUAAAAACUCCACGUUUUAAAGAGAAUGUGGAUGCUGGAGGUCAUGUUGAGGAAGCUCCCUUCCAUUUAUUUGUAUUCGUUGGUUUGGGUUUCUGUAACCUCUGUACCUUCUGCUUCCUCUUUACACACCGUAGAGGCCAUAAGUAUGUGGACAAAUCUGAUCCGGGACGAUCAGAUGUUUAUAAGACUCUGACACAAAGUGAUCAAGGUGAUUGUUGUGUGUCUAUUAUUUUGUCACGUUGUUACAAAGUCAUCUUCCAGGAAUGUGAGCUUGAAAGGACUUUUUUUUUUUUUUUUUUUGUCAGAAAAGAAGAAAAUAAUCUGCAAUCAUUUAAGUCACUUUUUUUUUUUUGUUGCAGGUUGCGGCUUCUCAAAUACGAAGAUCUUUUCUCGUGUGUGUGUGUAUACGGCAUAUUAUAGUACAUUUUAAUAUUCCUUUUGUUUCAGACUGCUGGUUGGAUCAAACAAAGCACUUUAAGGACAUCACUUUGGGCUUUAGGAAGUUCUAACAAGCGCCUUCCCCUUUUCGAUCGGUAGAUCGGUGGAUGAACUGAUGAUGGAAGUGGCCCCUCUAUACGAUGUGAUUUUUGGGCAGUUACAGAUUGAGAAAGAACCAAAACAAAAUCCCACAAACUUUCAAUAACUUGUACUUCAACUUGUACCAACAUUUUGGUUGUUUUUUUUCAGAGCCACCACUUAACUGUUCUGGGGUUGUUUUAGCAAACAGCAGACAGACCCAGUCAGAGACCAGCUGGUGAAAAUAGAGCAGCAUUUAGCGUGCAGCAAACCUGUUAGUUUGAGCCUCAACAGCACGAAAAACAGACCAAAAGAACACCAAUACGCGUGUAUACGUACGGCCACACACUAUACAUGUUUCUGCAUCGUUGUUGUGAAUGAUUUAACGGUCUUGAAUUUUACUACAGCCGUUCCAAAACCAUUAUCUCCUUCCCGAUAACGAUUCCAAUGCCUGAAAAUUGCGUACCGAUCAACCAAAACGUAAAGAGAAUAAAAGCCGUAUAACUUUCUUUCAGAGUCAGUCAUAACAGAAAAAAAACAGAAAUAAAGUACUGUUAAUGUAGCCCAGAAAAAAAGUAGUAAAGUACCUUUUUAAAGUAGUUUUUUUUUUAAGUUAUGUGGUAUCGUAUCAGCGCUCCGACUCGCUGACACUGAUACCAGAUUUCAGGCAGUAUCGGAGGCAAACUCUGAAGUAUUCCCAGACAGACCCACUAUCAGCUGAACAGAGACUUAGUGCCUUAAACUGUCCACCAGUCCAGUCCAGUCCAGUGGCUUUUCCUUUAUUGUGUCUGUUUGGAGUCGUUCCUCACAUUCCUAAUAUACACACUUCCAGACUCUUCUCUUUCUGUACAAGCUUUAUUCUUCACUAAGAACUUUAUAGUACACUUUAUAAUCGCGUUUUACAGGGAAUCGACUAUUUAAAUCACUCUGUUGAUGAAGGGACUCAUUUCUUUGUCUCCACACACACACACACACACACACACACACACACACACACACACACACA